rnacentral:rRNA from 1 species
UACGAAGGGGGCUAGCGUUGCUCGGAAUCACUGGGCGUAAAGCGCACGUAGGCGGAUUGUUAAGUCAGGGGUGAAAUCCUGGAGCUCAACUCCAGAACUGCCUUGAUACUGGCGAUCUCGAGUCCGGGAGAGGUGAGUGGAACUGCGAGUGUAGAGGUGAAAUUCGUAGAUAUUCGCAAGACACCAGUGGCGAAGGCGGCUCACUGGCCCGGUACUGACGCUGAGGUGCGAAAGC